rnacentral:rRNA from 1 species
UACGAAGGGGGCUAGCGUUGUUCGGAAUCACUGGGCGUAAAGCGCGCGUAGGCGGAUUAGUAAGCUAGAGGUGAAAGCCUGGGGCUCAACCCCAGAACUGCCUUUAGAACUGCUAGUCUGGAAUAUCGGAGGGGGUGGCGGAAUUUCUAGUGUAGAGGUGAAAUUCGUAGAUACUAGAAGGAACACCAGUGGCGAAGGCGGCCACCUGGACGAUUAUUGACGCUGAGGCGCGAAAGCGUGGGGAGCAAACAGG